rnacentral:lncRNA from 1 species
CUGGGUAGUUAAAUAAACAGGUAGUUUGUCUUGAUCAAGCUUUGGUGAGUGUGGGAGGGCUAGGUUGGGACCCAUGAAUGAUUAAAAGGAAGCUUGAGUUCAAAAAGAACACAAAGAAAGAAAAAGUUAGUGGUUGUGCUGUGGGAGUGGAAUGCAUGGGAGAAGAACAAGUACAAAAGUUCAAGAUAUGAUUCGCAGUUACUUGCUUGCUUAUAGGGGAAACUAGGGUUUUUUUUAUGGGGAUUGCGUAAAGCUCAAUAGAGCCUGCUGAUUUUUAGCAACGGAUUUCAUUUAAAGAACAGACACGCCAUUCCAAAUGGGCCUAAUGGUCCACCAUUGUCCCACAA